UGAUCUGCGUGAUGCCUAGCUUUUGAUACGGUAGUUGUGGUGUUGUUAGCUGGCCAAACCAAAGCCUUUAAGCUUGUGGACAAUAAUCAAUGCUGAUGGAUAAAUAACAGUUGAUCAUGGAGUAUUAGCAUUUGGCCUAUCUAGUAGUCCGCAUAUUCUUAUCCACAAGUGAUAAGUAUGGAUUAUGUCUGCAAUCAGCGUCUUGCUAGUUGCUACUAUGAACGAACCAAGCCAAACUAAUCCAAUCGAGUUCGUGCUCCGUAAUACAGUUUCAGCCAAUUGUCACGUAACGCCAACUUUUGUGAGCCCCAUCGAAGCCACAUCAAUCAGUCACACACACAUGUACACACGAGCUGUGAGCACACCCUGGUUAUCCAUGUAGUAUGAUCCAUGGAUCAUCUUGCUGGAUGUGUUGCGGCAGAGAAACCAGCACAGUGAUAAGCAGUGUUACAACUUUUUUUUUUUUUGCGGGGAAGCAGUGUUACAACUUGCAAGCCUGUUGCUACAGUGCACUUUCAUUAUUUCAUAUUUGUUGGAUUGAAAUCAAGCCUAGCUCAGCUGGGUAGUUUCGUUG
rnacentral:sRNA from 1 species